rnacentral:rRNA from 1 species
AGAGUUUGAUCAUGGCUCAGGACUAACGCUGGCGGCGUGCCUAACACAUGCAAGUCGAACGCGGGUAGCAAUACCCGAGUGGCAGACGGGUGAGUAACACGUAGUCAAUCUACCUCUUAGUGGGGGAUAACUAGCCGAAAGGUUAGCUAAUACCGCAUACGAUCGUCGAGCGGCAUCGCUUAACGAUGAAAGGAGCAAUU